rnacentral:lncRNA from 1 species
GCGUGCUUAGCGGAACUGCUUUGAUAGACGAGUAUCGGAGCAGAGCAGGAUUCAUGGCAGUGGUAAGACGAUCAGUAGCAGACGGAAUGUUGCUGUUUUGAGAACAUGGCUUGUGGCAAAAUUGCUGAACUGCGCCAAGGGUGGAACAGUUCGUGAGAGCAAGAAGUGUCAAAGCGCGGGAAACUCUCUUGUGGAAUGGAGCAACAAGGGCGUUGUCUGUCAACAACUCCUUGGGGCAGAUCCAUUAAGUCGGCUCGACGAGGACGUCGAUUUCAAAGGGUGCGGGUGAUUUGUUAGGACCCGAUUCUUUGUCAAUCGAACGUGGCGCGGCUAUGGCAAGGAUUGGGGCAUGAUGGCCUUGCUGUUGGCCUAUGCGGGAGCAAAACGAUCAUGCGGGACAAUGGACGAGAAACAUUGUCAUGAGAACAAGUAUUGGCCAAGGUCUUGAGACAGGCAAGAUGGGCUUGGCAAAGGCUUGAUGAGGCAGUGCGGACAAGUUUGGGCGGCAUGAAGCGGCAUGCGCGCCAAAGGCAAAGGUACGGGCAGUUCAAGUUGUGGGAGCGCCAAGUACAAGCUAAGCUAAAUCACGGAGGCACGGAAUGAUGGCAAAGGGUUUCAAUAGCUAAGGCAAAGCUAUGUGAGACAAAAGACAAGCAAUGGCACGGAUGAAACAAGUGUUGACAAAGACAAGGCAGAAAUGCGGCUAAGGCAAUGUGCGGCCGACAGGCGUCGAGCAUGUGCGGUAAAAUCAUGGGCAGUAGGUUGCGGACGAGACAUUGGCGCGGAGCAAUGUCAGAAUCAGCCAAGGCUGGGCGCAAUGCCAGACUUGGGGCGUGCAAUAGCUGACCAAGAAAAAGGGCACAUGUAGGGCACAUGCCAAAGCAGUGGGCCGUUGUAUUUUUGUAAUGACUUGUAUCCAUGUCUGUUUAGUGCUUGUAGCUAAUGUCAUUUCGUGUAAGAUAAUGGCCUAUGUAGUUGGGGGAUGUAAACUACAAGAUAGGAUCAGAUUUAGUAUGCUGUGUGUAAUGGCUUGGUUCAGUGGGAAGUGGGACCAGUGCUCCACCAGAGGGCUAAGUGCUCCAACAGAUGAGCUGAGUGUUCCACUAUGAAGGCUGAGUGCUCCACAAACAGAAAUAAGUGCUGGAGAGGGCUAUUUCGUGGGCAAGUACCCCAUUAAAUGGUUAAGUGCUUAUCAGUGCUUUGACUGGGCAAAGCACAAUGACGGAAUUGCCCCUUUGUAUGCUGUCCCUUAAUAUCUGCCAGUGGAACCCCCUAUAUCUAUAUAUAUGGGGGCAUUUCGUGAAGAGAAGGCAUCAAGACCGUGUAGGUCUUGCAUUAGGCAUCAAGACUAUGUCUUGUGCAGAAGGAGAGGGUCUCCAAGAGGAAGAUCUAGACCAUGAGGGUCUCAGAUCAAAAGUGGUAUCAAGACUGUAAGAGUCUUGUGCAGGAGGAGAGGGUCUCCAAGACCAAAAUCAAGACUGUAAGAGUCUUGUGCAGAAGGAGAGGGUCUUCAAAUGAAGAAGAGGGUCUCCGAGACGAAGACGAAGUGGUGCUAAGGCUGGGCAUGGGCAGGUCUUAGUGUGUCAUGAUCGGCUUGUGAUCUUGACUAAGUGGGCUAUGAACGACUUGUGUUCAUAGCAAAGAAACGGAAACAGGUUAGGAAGGUGAUUCUUUCUAAGUGUUUCCAAAAGUGGGCUAAGGCUGGAGCGUAGGCAGGUCUUAGUAGUUAUGAACGACUUGUGUUCAUAGCAAAAUGGGAACCAAGAGGGAAACGUGAGAGUUUCUAAGUGUUUCCGAAAGUGGGCUAAGGCUGGAGCGUUGGCAGGUCUUAGUGACAAGAUCUAUUUGUGAUCUUGGCCGGACGAAGUGGGCUG